CAAGAGUCGUGUGAUGGACAAGAGGUCGC
rnacentral:sRNA from 1 species